ACGAACGCUGGCGGCGUGCUUAACACAUGCAAGUCGAACGGUAAGGCCCUUCGGGGUACACGAGUGGCGAACGGGUGAGUAACACGUGGGUGAUCUGCCCUGCACUUCGGGAUAAGCUUGGGAAACUGGGUCUAAUACCGGAUAUGACUACGAAUCGCAUGGUUUGUGGUGGAAAGCUUUUGCGGUGUGGGAUGGGCCCGCGGCCUAUCAGCUUGUUGGUGGGGUGAUGGCCUACCAAGGCGACGACGGGUAGCCG
rnacentral:rRNA from 1 species